GGGAGUCGGAUUGUUAGGAGUUAUCGGAUUGGGGUUGGAUUGGAAAAAUCUUUUUAAUGCCUAAAAUUAUUUUCCAAUGCCUCCCAUUCCGGUGAUUUCUAACCGUCUAUUCCUCUC
rnacentral:pre_miRNA from 1 species